AGGACACCAGAUGGGGGAGACCCUGGACAGAACGCCAGCUCAUCGCAGGUCUUCGAUCUGCGGGCUGGCUGGGGAGCGAGCGUUCAGCGGCGAGCCGGAAUCCAGGCUCGCAAAUGUGGCUGAAACGCUGUUGUCCAGGGAACCUAAUCGGAGGCGUAUUCGAAAGGCCCGUUUUAAAGACACAUAUUCCCGUGUCAAUAUGGAAGUAUUAGUAGUGUCAGUAACCAAGAACAACAUUAAAUUCACAGCUGGAAAGUUCGGGUUUAGAAAGUACAAAUCCAGACCAAGAUUUUGUUUCAACCAACCAGUUGAGUCCUCUGUGACUGUGACCUUUAAUCUCAGCUGAUUGGUUGAAGCCAAACUUUGGUCCGAUUUUUACUUUCUGGAGCUGAACUUUCCACCUCUGAUUAAAUGUAUUUGUGCAUAUUAGCCUGUUUUAAAUAUUAUGGCAUUAAUCUGUGCAUUUGCUUUUUUCUAACGUCUGCCAGCGGCCCAUCAUGCCUUGCUUCUCCUGGAUCAUGACAUCGCAGAUGCAAAUGGACCCAGCCUGUGCCACAUUCUGCAGUAGGAGUUUGACCGCAGAGUCGUCCGGCUGGUGUUCCAGAAAGUUCCUGGUCAAGUGUGGGUCAAACAAUUCAACAGGCGGUGAAUAAGUCCAGGUGAGCAGGGAAGUGCUGCAGACUACCCUAAUUACUGCAGAAAUGAGAAAAGGAGGUUACAUUUAUUUAUUGAAACAUUUAUACAGUACAUUUAUCAGGCUAUUUCUUAAUUGUUCUGUGUGGUUUUCUUCUAGUUCCCUCUCACAGGACAAAAAUAUGCAUUUAAGUGAAUUUAUGCCUUUAAGUUGGCCUUAGUGUGUCACAUUUUGCGUGUGCUGUACAAUAGACAGACCCCAUCCAGGGCAUCCCUGCCGUGCGCCUGGGCUUCCCAGAUGGGCUCCAGGCUCCCCUCACAUGGUACUGGAUACACGGUUUUCUGUAGCAUAGAUGAAUAGAGGGAUGUAUGUAUUUUUAUCAGCAUUUUUUGUGUUCAGCCCAGCACUUAACACGCCUACUAUGGGUCAGACGCUCAGUAGGGUACGAGGUCCCUAAGGGUAUAUGCUCCACCAACUUAACCCAUGACCGGUAGUCCAUGACAGUGUUGGAUCGCGUCAGCUGCCCAAUUCCAGACCAUAACCACAGUCAAACGCUCACCUCUCCCCCCUCGGCACAUUCCACCUGUAAUUAUAUUGUUUGCUCAAGCGUGACCCUAAAU